UGGGGAAUUUUGGACAAUGGGGGCAACCCUGAUCCAGCCAUGCCGCGUGAGUGAAGAAGGCCUUCGGGUUGUAAAGCUCUUUCGGCCGGGACGAAAUCGCACGGGUGAAUAUCCCGUGUGGAUGACGGUACCGGAGUAAGAAGCACCGGCUAACUACGUGCCAGCAGCCGCGGUAAUACGUAGGGUGCGAGCGUUAAUCGGAAUUACUGGGCGUAAAGCGUGCGCAGGUGGUCUUGUAAGCCAGACGUGAAAUCCCCGGGCUUAACCUGGGAAUGGCGUUUGGGACUGCAAGGCUAGAGUGCGGCAGAGGGGGGUGGAAUUCCACGUGUAGCAGUGAAAUGCGUAGAUAUGUGGAGGAACACCGAUGGCGAAGGCAGCCCCCUGGGCCAGCACUGACGCUCAUGCACGAAAGCGUGGGGAGCAAACAGGAUUAGAUACCCGCGUAGUCC
rnacentral:rRNA from 1 species